rfam:Salmo salar isolate Sally breed double haploid chromosome ssa20, whole genome shotgun sequence.
AAUGCACCAAUUUGUAAGUCGCUCUGGAUAACAGCGUCUGCUAAAUGACGUAAA